AUUGAACGCUGGCGGCAGGCCUAACACAUGCAAGUCGAGCGGAUGAUGGGUGCUUGCUCCUUGUUUCAGCGGCGUACUGGUGAGUUAUGCCUAGGUUUCUGCCUGUUAGUGGUGGAUAACGUCCGUAAACGGGCUCUAAUACCUCAUACGUCCUGCGGGAGAAAAUGGGGUAUCUUCGGACCUCACGCUAUUAGCUUUGUCUAUGGCGGAUUAUCUAGUUGGUGGGGUAAAGGCCUACCAAGGCGACGAUCCGUAACUGGUCUGAGAGGAUGAUCAGUCACACUGGAACUGAGACACGGUCCAGACUCCUACGGGAGGCAGCAGUGGGGAAUAUUGGACAAUGGGCGAAAGCCUGAUCCAGCCAUGCCGCGUGUGUGAAGAAGGUCUUCGGAUUGUAAAGCACUUUAAGUUGGGAGGAAGGGCAGUAAGUUAAUAACUUGCUGUUUUGACGUUACCAACAGAAUAAGCACCGGCUAACUUCGUG
rnacentral:rRNA from 1 species